GAUGAACGCUGGCGGCGUGCCUAAUACAUGCAAGUCGAGCGAACAGACGAGGAGCUUGCUCCUCUGACGUUAGCGGCGGACGGGUGAGUAACACGUGGAUAACCUACCUAUAAGACUGGGAUAACUUCGGGAAACCGGAGCUAAUACCGGAUAAUAUAUUGAACCGCAUGGUUCAAUAGUGAAAGACGGUUUUGCUGUCACUUAUAGAUGGAUCCGCGCCGCAUUAGCUAGUUGGUAAGGUAACGGCUUACCAAGGCAACGAUGCGUAGCCGACCUGAGAGGGUGAUCGGCCACACUGGAACUGAGACACGGUCCAGACUCCUACGGGAGGCAGCAGUAGGGAAUCUUCCGCAAUGGGCGAAAGCUUGACGGAGCAACGCCGCGUGAGUGAUGAAGGUCUUCGGAUCGUAAAACUCUGUUAUUAGGGAAGAACAAAUGUAAGUAACUAUGCACGUCUUGACGGUACCUAAUCAGAAAGCCACGGCUAACUACGUG
rnacentral:rRNA from 1 species